AUUGAACGCUGGCGGCGUGCCUAAUACAUGCAAGUCGAACGCAGUGGGGACGGGUGAGUAACACGUGGGUAACCUCCCAUCAGAGGGGAUAACACUUGGAAACAGGUGCUAAACCGAUACUGAUGGAUGGACCCGCGGUGCAUUAGCUAGUUGGUGAGGUAACGGCUCACCAAGGCCACGAUGCAUCGCCGGACUGGGAGGGUGAUCGGCCAAAAUUGGACUGAGACACGGCCCAGACUCCUACGGGAGGCAGCAGUAGGGAAUCUUCGGAAAAGGACGAAAGUGUGACCGAGCAACGCCGCGUGAGUGAAAAAGGGUUUCGGAUCGUAAAACUCUGUUGUUAGAGAAGCGGUAUCUAACCAGAAAGCCACGGCUAACUACGUGCCAGCACCCGCGGUAAUAC
rnacentral:rRNA from 1 species